UAGGAAGUUACAACUUAGAGUAGGUGAUGCGACUAUUACCUUUGACCUUAGCACUUCUAUGAGACAUUCACUUGACCAUGAUGAUACUGUAUAUUAUGUGGAUGUUCUGGAUGAUAUUGUGGAGUCUCAAUUGCAGGAGAUAUUACUUGAUGAUCAUUUACAAGAAGCAUUACAGGCUGAUGAGGAGGAGGAGUUGUCCAACGAG
rnacentral:lncRNA from 1 species